AAAAUCCUGUCACAUUUUUGUUAUUCCAGCUGAAUAUGUUUACCCUACCUUAGUCUUGGAGUUUAUCUCCUCAUUCAAUGCUGACCUAAAACUACAUGCCCAUACUCACAAGCCAGCACUAAAAUUUCGAUGUUUAGGUGUGGAUAGGGAACUAUCACUUUAAGGUUUGUUUAGGAUUCCUUACAAAGGAAGAGCAGUCUAGGGGACUGAGGUGUUUGAUGAAAAGAAAUUUUAGAAAGCAAUAUCCA
rnacentral:misc_RNA from 1 species